rnacentral:rRNA from 1 species
CGGGGGGGGCAAGCGUUGUUCGGAAUUACUGGGCGUAAAGGGCUCGUAGGUGGCCAACUAAGUCAGACGUGAAAUCCCUCGGCUUAACCGGGGAACUGCGUCUGAUACUGGAUGGCUCGAGUUUGGGAGAGGGAUGCGGAAUUCCAGGUGUAGCGGUGAAAUGCGUAGAUAUCUGGAGGAACACCGGUGGCGAAGGCGGCAUCCUGGACCAAUACUGACACUGAAUAGCGAAAGCCAGGGGAGCAAACGGGAUUAGAUACCCCGGUAGUCCUGGCCCUAAACGAUGAAUGCUUGGUGUGGCGGGUACCCAAUCCUGCUGUGCCGCAGCUAACGCGUUAAGCAAUCCGCCUGGGGAGUACGGUCGCAAGGCUG